UGGCAGACAAGGGGGAAGGAGCUCUGCUUGAGCGAGCAGAGGGAAGAGCCCUGAAUGCAUCAGCCGUUGAGACUGGUCCUGCUGGUGACCAGUCAGUGUGCUUGUCUGCCAGCUGUCAGUCAUCAGUCAUCACAAAUACCUCCACUGCCCUCUCCAGAGUUUGCUGGUUUGGAUCAAUGGGAAGAGGAGCCAAGCUGAGACAAGAGCAAUGUUUAACAGGUUUUC